rnacentral:rRNA from 1 species
AGUGAACGCUGGCGGCGUGCUUAACACAUGCGAGUCGAACGAGAACGGGUUAUAGCUUGCUAUAAUUGUCAGCUAAGUGGCGCACGGGUGAGUAAUGUAUAGGUAAUAUGCCUCUUACUAAGGGAUAACAAAUGGAAACGUUUGCUAAUACCUUAUACUCCUUAUUAACAUAAGUUAAUAAGGGAAAGAUUUAUUGGAAAGAGAUUAGCCUGUAUUGUAUCAGUUAGUUGGUGGGGUAAUGGCUUACCAAGACUAUGACACAUAACUGGUUUGAGAGGAUGAUCAGUCACACUGGAACUGAGACACGGUCCAGACUCCUACGGGAGGCAGCAGUGGGGAAUAUUGCACAAUGGACGAAAGUCUGAUGCAGCAACGCCGCGUGGAGGAUGACACAUUUCGGUGCGUAAACUCCUUUUAUAUGAGAAGAUAAUGACGGUAUUAUAUGAAUAAGCACCGGCUAACUCCGUGCCAGCCGCCGCAGUAAAAC